AUCUGGCCUUGUGGGAGAAAGGGUGUCUCUGGGAGUAGGCUUUGAGCUUUCAGAUGCUCAAGCAGGCCCAGUGCCACUCUCUCUUCCUGCUGUGUGAAGAUCC
rnacentral:miRNA from 1 species